AGUGAACGCUGGCGGUAGGCCUAACACAUGCAAGUCGAACGGCAGCACAGUAAGAGCUUGCUCUUACGGGUGGCGAGUGGCGGACGGGUGAGGAAUACAUCGGAAUCUACUUUUUCGUGGGGGAUAACGUAGGGAAACUUACGCUAAUACCGCAUACGACCUACGGGUGAAAGCAGGGGAUCUUCGGACCUUGCGCGAUUGAAUGAGCCGAUGUCGGAGUAGCUAGUUGGCGGGGUAAAGGCCCACCAAGGCGACGAUCCGUAGCUGGUCUGAGAGGAUGAUCAGCCACACUGGAACUGAGACACGGUCCAGACUCCUACGGGAGGCAGCAGUGGGGAAUAUUGGACAAUGGGCGCAAGCCUGAUACAGCCAUACCGCGUGGGUGAAGAAGGCCUUCGGGUUGUAAAGCCCUUUUGUUGGGAAAGAAAAGCAGCAGGUUAAUACCCAGCUGUUCUGACGGUAACCAAAGAAUAAGCACCGGCUAACUUCGUG
rnacentral:rRNA from 1 species